rnacentral:rRNA from 1 species
UACGUAGGGGGCAAGCGUUAUCCGGAUUUACUGGGUGUAAAGGGGGCGCAGACGGCGAUGCAAGCCAGGAGUGAAAGCCCGGGGCCCAACCCCGGGACUGCUCUUGGAACUGCGUGGCUGGAGUGCAGGAGGGGCAGGCGGAAUUCCUGGUGUAGCGGUGAAAUGCGUAGAUAUCAGGAGGAACCCCGGUGGCGAAGGCGGCCUGCUGGACUGCAACUGACGUUGAGGCCCGAAAGCGUGGGGAGCAAACAGG